rnacentral:rRNA from 1 species
CCUACGGGAGGCAGCAGUGAGGAAUAUUGGUCAAUGGACGCAAGUCUGAACCAGCCAUGCCGCGUGCAGGAAGACGGAUCUAUGAGUUGUAACCUGCUUUUGUACGAGGGUAAACGCAGAUACGUGUAUCUGUCUGGAAGUAUCGUAAGAAUAAGGAUCGGCUAACUCCGUGCCAGCAGCCGCGGUAAUACGGAGGAUUCAAGCGUUAUCCGGAUUUAUUGGGUUUAAAGGGUGCGUAGGCGGUCGGAUAAGUUAGAUGUGAAAUCCCGAGGCUCAACUUCGGAAUUGCCUCUGAUACUGUUCGGCUAGAGAAGAGUUGCGGUAGGCGGAAUGUAUGGUGUAGCGGUGAAAUGCUUAGAGAUCAUACAGAACACCGAUUGCGAAGGCAGCUUACCAAGCUACUUCUGACGUUGAGGCACGAAAGCGUGGGGAGCAAACAGGAUUAGAUACCCUAGUAGUC